rnacentral:tRNA from 1 species
UGCUGUGUGGCAUAGUGGUAAGGAGCAGGGCUCGUAACUGAAAGGUUGCUGGUUCAAUCCCCUGCUGGGGCAC